rnacentral:rRNA from 1 species
GGAAGUAAAAGUCGUAACAAGGUCUCCGUUGGUGAACCAGCGGAGGGAUCAUUACCGAGUGUAACUACUCACCAACCCAUGUGAACAUACCUUCUGUUGCUUCGGCAGGUUCGCCCCGGGCGCUCUUCACGCGUGCCCCGGAACCAGGCGCCUGCCGGGGGAUUGAAAUUCUGUCUUUUAUAGAGGAUUAUCUGAGUGGCUCUUGAGCAAAUAAUCAAAACUUUCAACAAUGGAUCUCUUGGUUCUGGCAUCGAUGAAGAACGCAGCGAAAUGCGAUAAGUAAUAUGAAUUGCAGAGUUAAGUGAAUCAUCGAAUCUUUGAACGCACAUUGCGCCCGCCAGUAUUCUGGCGGGCAUGCCUGUCUGAGCGUCAUUUCACCACUCGCCACCGGCUUCAGGGCUGGAAGGCGGCGUUGGGGAUCGGCUCCCGCCCACCUGGGAGGGUGCCGUCCCCUAAAUAUAGUGGCGGUCUCGCUGCGACCUCCUCUGCGUAGUAGUCAUCUUCUCGCAGGCGGAGAGCGGCGCGGUCCAGCCGUGAAAACCCCAACCUUUUAUCAAUGGUUGACCUCAGAUCAGGUAGGAAUACCCGCUGAACUUAAGCAUAUCAAUAAGCGGAGGA